AUUGAACGCUGGCGGCAGGCCUAACACAUGCAAGUCGAGCGGAGCGGCGGACGGGCGAGUAAUGCCUAGGAAUCUGCCUGGCAUUGGGGGCUAAGGUCCGGAAACGGGCGCUAAUACCGCAUCCUACCAGAUGAGCCUAGGUUGGAUUAGCUAGUUGGUGGGGUAAAGGCAUACCAAGGCGACGAUCCGUAACAGGUCUGAGAGGGUGAUCAGCCACACUGGAACUGAGACACGGUCCAGACUCCUACGGGAGGCAGCAGUGGGGAAUAUUCGGCAAUGGGCGAAAGCCUGAUCGAGCCAUGCCGCGUGAGUGAUGAAGGUCUUCGGAUUGUAAAGCCCUUUAAGUUGGGAGGCGUUACCAAAAGAAUAAGCCCCGGCUAACUUCGUGCCAGCAGCCGCGGUAAUUC
rnacentral:rRNA from 1 species